AGUAGCUCCCGAGCACGCCGGAGGCCUGGCCUGUGGAUGAGAUUGUUCCUUAUUUCCCCAGCUUCAGCACCACAGAAGAGACCAGAGUCUACCUUGCCAGCUCCUCUAGCACCGACCACGUGCCAAUUCAUGUCCUGAAUGCUCACUUCACUUCUUCACCUUGCUUCACUUCACUUACUGCACGGGAACAGAAAAGCCUAGAGAGGAUGGAUUACCUGUGCGGUUGCCUCCCUCUGCAGAGUGGGCGUGUCUCAGGAGCUUCUCUUCUUCUCCAGCCCAGUGCGGCCUCGUGUCAUCCAUAGGACCCACCGGCAGAGGGCAGGGCCUGCGAGUGGGGCCAGCCUCCUGGUGACUCUCGCCUCCUCUUUUCCAGCGGACGCUACCAGAGGACGAAGGUCUGACUCUGGCCAACGGCCCAGAAUUUCUGGCCCAGUUUUGCCUGAGGAAGCCAACUGUGCAGGAGGUCAGGAUCCCGGUAGGGUGAGAGUGGGAAAGUUAACAUUCCCAAGAGACUCCAAGCAACAGGAUUUCCUGACCUGGGACUAUUACCUUUCUCACAUUACAUGGCCAGAUUUACUUCCUGCUAUUAUUAAAAGUACGAAAAAGAUGAAGAUAUGUGUUUAAUGGAAACAAGGGCAAGAGUUUGCCUGACUGGACUUUGAGGAGGCUGUAGGAUCAUGGCGCUAACGGCAUUUGGAGGGCUGGGAAGGGACUCUAGCCCUGGCUUUACCUGCCUUUGUCAUCAGCUGGAGCAAGCAACUCCGCAACCUCGGAGCCUCAGUUUCCUUUUCUGUAAAAGGCGGGGAGGGUGGGUGGUAAGUGCAAUGCUGAAUCAGAACUCAUAGAGCUGCUGGGUGGACAUGUGAAGUAAAAGAGGAGACAGCUUUUGCUCCUGAAGGAUGCCAUUUGCGUUUUCCUCAUCAGUUUGAUCUCCUCCAAUCAUCCAGCACCUCCAUCUGACCUUCUCAGCUGAGAGGUCCUCAGUGUUUCUGUGGCCUCCAGGAGAAAGGUCCCCCUCCCCGGCUGAGGCCAGGCUGAUGGCAGGCUGCACGGCCAGCCUUCCACAGUCACCUGAAGGAUACAGAAAAGGAAGAGCUGGAGGCUUCUAGCAAGCUGCCGAACUGUGUCCUCCAGCUGCGCCCAGCCCCCUGGAGGUAGCGCCGGAGCACGUGGUGGUGGCUAUGUAGGAAGGCCCCUUUCGAGCCGCCCUAUACUGUCUUUGGGAUCUGCUUUUUACUGCCACAGCCUAUGUGCUCCUGAUUCUUCUCUCAAUCCCUGGAUGGAAACCGGCCUCUGAUACUUGGCUCUGCUUCCUUGGAGGAGCUACUUAACCAUUCAGUCCUCUCUGCAGUUAGCUAUUAAGGUUGUCCUGCGAACUGAAGCAGAGAGUCCCCGCAAAGGGUGCAGAGUAGGGCACCCACAGAGGAGCCUCUAAAGCACUUUCCAUGAGGUGGAUGGCUUCUCCUCCCCAAGGGACCCAGGAAGGAAAGGAGAGCUGCUUCUGCCUCCCCAGCAGAGAGGGACCUUCCCAGAGAAGAUGUCUUGCGCCUCACCUGAUCUUGUUCUGAGAGUAGGAGACUGGAAGAGAAGCGUUCAACUCCCCAAACACAGCUGGGUUUGUUUCGUUUAAUCUCCCAGCCUGUUUUUCUGCUGUCCUCCUGAAGAAUGUUUAAUCUCACAGUUAAAACCACCAAAAGCGACUUUUUUCCCCCUCAACUGCUCAGUAACACAUGACCGUGCAAAUUCGUUUGGCCCCAGCGCCACAAGUCAUAAAAGGCAUCUAGUGGGCGGCAUGAGUCAAUCAGGCCUUUGGACGGUGACGUAACCACAGCUUGUCAGUUUCCCCAUCCAGGCAGCCCCAAUCCCCCAGUGCAGACAUCUGGAGCCAGGGAUUGACAAGUGGAUUCCAGGAUUGGGCCCUGCCUCCCGCCCUGUUCAGUUCCAGCCCAGCCACGGCCGCCGCCAACGAGGACACGCACUGUCUUUCUGCACAUUCCCACGUACACACACCCCCGCAGCCCCCUCUCCACUCAUUCCUGCAUUUCCGGCAAUGUGAAUUCUGACAGCUCGGGCAGUGUCAGCCUCUCCGGUGCAUUCCUCACCACACCACCUCACUGCUCCCGAGCCUGCUGACAGCACUCCCCGCCAUACCUACCAAGCCGAAGGUGCAAGGAACCUCUUGAUCCCCACUGUGUCUUUGUCCCAGGGCCACAGCAAAAUAGCACCCCCCUCCCCCACACACCCUCUAGCCUAAUUUAUUAGACUUUUAAACACAUUUAUUUACUGUGAUAUCUACACCACACCAAACAUCUGGAGGGAAACCGGGAGACAAUCCACCAGGAAUUUAAAUGUUUGUUCUGCAAUGUAACUUUGAAAACCGAACCAGGAAAACUUGACAUCUUUAGCCAAUUGCUUGGUGUGUUCCAGGAAUGUUCCUACCCCUGCGUCUUUGCUGAAGCCCCUCUUGCCUGGGAUGCCCUCUGUCCUCUCUUUCUGCCCACACACAUCCUGCCAGUCCUUCAGACAGGGCCAGCCUCACGGGCAUAGGACCUGAGCAGUUUCACAGGGCCCUAUGCACAGAAGGAUCCCAAGCUCGGUUGAUUGCUCCGAUCUUGCCAUCUUGAAACUCUUUGAUAAUUUUAUCUUUUAUCUUGUGUUUUGGGAGUGAAAUCCAAUGGGAUAUUGGGGCCUGCAAAGGAGAAGAGGAGAUCCGCACAAACCCGUUCCUGGCUGCUGCAUUCACCUCCAGCGUUUGUGAUGCCCCAGAGCACAGAACUCCAGGGAGCCCACGAUGCAGGAGAGUUCAGCGACAUUCACUGAGUACAAGAGAAGUGAGUUACUCCUGCAGCUGAGCACGGGGGGCGCUGGCAACUGCGAAAGGUCUCGCUUUCCAUUCCAACCAGAACUUGCUCCUAGCGCAGACAGAAGGCCGUGGCAUUCUGAGAAACACACAUGAUGAAGGAGCCCUGUCAUAUCCUCUCUUCCUUGCAUCGCUUCCCCGUGUGAGCAACCACUUGUGCUGGAAAUGAUGACAAGGAAGGACCGGGAAAGACAGGGCCACCCGCAGUUCCUUUUCCUUGACGUCUUUCCUUCCUCAUCAGCGAGCUGAGGUGGAGAGCGUUGGUAGAAUGUGUGCAUAAUAAGAAGUGAAAUAAAAACAGUCGAGUUAGUAUUCUACUGUUUCCACUGUUCUGGUGAGAACAAAACACAUAUGCUGUAUAUGCUUUGAAAUACAAAGUGUGUAAUUUUAGUGAUUCUGCAUAGGAGUUAAAUGUUUUUAUAUUUGCAGACUGUUGGGAGGCACCAAUGGACUUUGCAACUGGAGAUCUCCCAACUGGACCAUGUCACUGUUAUGUUUAAUUUGCACUGUGCACAGUAGGUACCCAGUCAACGUUUGUCGAAUUCCAUGGACUGGGCCUUAUACCUCCGAGGAUUUUUCACAGCAGUAGCAUGUGCACAUGCACAGAACGAGAACACAACCAAUGCUUGUUUGCUGGUGAAGACCUGGUCUCAGUAUUUUGCCCAGGAAACCCUUUCUUCAUGGACAGCAUGAGGCAAGCUAUGGCCCUUGCUGUGGUCUCAGUGGUUCAGCACGGAAGAUGAAGAUGACGGGCAGUCUCAGAAUAUUAGCUUUAGAAGGGACUUUGGAUCCUUUUGAUUUUGGUAGGUGAAAUACUUUUUAAAAAUAAAGAAAACGGACUUUGGACAAAUGCUCUCAUUUUGUAAAUGAAAAAGUAGAGACAGGAAGAGUAACUGAUUUGUCCAAAAUCAAACAAAGUAAAUUGUGUUGCAUCCUCUCCAUCCGUAACCACCUUCGCCUUCCCUAACUGCUCCAUGUGGCCUGGGAAAGUCCACUUCACCUCGUCUUAGAGGUGGGCUUCUGAUUCUAGCUAAGCCAACCCCCA
rnacentral:lncRNA from 1 species